rnacentral:rRNA from 1 species
AAUGAACGCUGGCGGCGUGCCUAACACAUGCAAGUCGAACGACAGCACAGUAAGCUCGUGCUCUUACGGUUGGCGGGUGGCGGACGGGUAACACGUGCAUCACAAUCUACUUUUUCUUGGAUGACUACGUAAAACAACUUACACUACUACCUCAUACUUCCUACGGGUGAGUGCAGUGGAUCUUCGGAGCUUUCGCGAUUGUAUUAGCCGGUGUCGGAUUAGCUAGUUGGCUUGGUAAAGUCCCACCAAGGCGACGAUGCGUAGCUGUGCUGAGAGGAUGAUCAGCCACACUGGAACUGAGACACGGUCCAGACUCCUACGGGAGGCAGCAGUGGGGAAUAUUGGACAAUGGGCGAAAGCCUGACGGAGCAACGCCGCGUGGGUGAAGAAGGCCUUCGGGUCGUAAAGCUCUUUUAUUGGGAAAGAACAGAAGUAGAUGAAACUAUGGACGUCCUGACGGUACCUAAAGAAUAAGCAACGGCUAACUACGUG